UUAAGCGACUAAGCGUACACGGUGGAUGCCCUGGCAGUCAGAGGCGAUGAAGGACGUGCUAAUCUGCGAAAAGCGUCGGUAAGGUGAUAUGAACCGUUAUAACCGGCGAUGUCCGAAUGGGGAAACCCAGUGUGAUUCGUCACACUAUCGUUAACUGAAUACAUAGGUUAACGAGGCGAACCGGGGGAACUGAAACAUCUAAGUACCCCGAGGAAAAGAAAUCAACCGAGAUUCCCCCAGUAGCGGCGAGCGAACGGGGAGCAGCCCAGAGUCUGAAUCAGCUUGUGUGUUAGUGGAACGGUCUGGAAAGUCCGACGGUACAGGGUGAUAGUCCCGUACACCAAAAUGCACAGGNUGUGAACUCGAAGAGUAGGGCGGGACACGUGGUAUCCUGUCUGAAUAUGGGGGGACCAUCCUCCAAGGCUAAAUACUCCUGACUGACCGAUAGUGAACCAGUACCGUGAGGGAAAGGCGAAAAGAACCCCGGCGAGGGGAGUGAAAAAGAACCUGAAACCGUGUACGUACAAGCAGUGGGAGCACCUUCGGGUGUGACUGCGUACCUUUUGUAUAAUGGGUCAGCGACUUAUAUUCUGUAGCAAGGUUAACCGUAUAGGGGAGCCGCAGGGAAACCGAGUCUUAACUGGGCGUUAAGUUGCAGGGUAUAGACCCGAAACCCGGUGAUCUAGCCAUGGGCAGGUUGAAGGUUGGGUAACACUAACUGGAGGACCGAACCGACUAAUGUUGAAAAAUUAGCGGAUGACUUGUGGCUGGGGGUGAAAGGCCAAUCAAACCGGGAGAUAGCUGGUUCUCCCCGAAAGCUAUUUAGGUAGCGCCUCGUGAACUCAUCUUCGGGGGUAGAGCACUGUUUCGGCUAGGGGGUCAUCCCGACUUACCAACCCGAUGCAAACUACGAAUACCGAAGAAUGUUAUCACGGGAGACACACGGCGGGUGCUAACGUCCGUCGUGAAGAGGGAAACAACCCAGACCGCCAGCUAAGGUCCCAAAGUCAUGGUUAAGUGGGAAACGAUGUGGGAAGGCACAGACAGCCAGGAUGUUGGCUUAGAAGCAGCCAUCAUUUAAAGAAAGCGUAAUAGCUCACUGGUCGAGUCGGCCUGCGCGGAAGAUGUAACGGGGCUAAACCAUGCACCGAAGCUGCGGCAGCGACACUAUGUGUUGUUGGGUAGGGGAGCGUUCUGUAAGCCUGCGAAGGUGUGCUGUGAGGCAUGCUGGAGGUAUCAGAAGUGCGAAUGCUGACAUAAGUAACGAUAAAGCGGGUGAAAAGCCCGCUCGCCGGAAGACCAAGGGUUCCUGUCCAACGUUAAUCGGGGCAGGGUGAGUCGACCCCUAAGGCGAGGCCGAAAGGCGUAGUCGAUGGGAAACAGGUUAAUAUUCCUGUACUUGGUGUUACUGCGAAGGGGGGACGGAGAAGGCUAUGUUAGCCGGGCGACGGUUGUCCCGGUUUAAGCAUGUAGGCUGGUUAUCCAGGCAAAUCCGGAUAAUCAAGGCUGAGGUGUGAUGACGAGGCACUACGGUGCUGAAGUAACAAAUGCCCUGCUUCCAGGAAAAGCCUCUAAGCAUCAGGUAACAUCAAAUCGUACCCCAAACCGACACAGGUGGUCAGGUAGAGAAUACCAAGGCGCUUGAGAGAACUCGGGUGAAGGAACUAGGCAAAAUGGUGCCGUAACUUCGGGAGAAGGCACGCUGGUGUGUAGGUGAAGUCCCUGCGGAUGGAGCUGAGACCAGUCGAAGAUACCAGCUGGCUGCAACUGUUUAUUAAAAACACAGCACUGUGCAAACACGAAAGUGGACGUAUACGGUGUGACGCCUGCCCGGUGCCGGAAGGUUAAUUGAUGGGGUUAUCCGUAAGGAGAAGCUCUUGAUCGAAGCCCCGGUAAACGGCGGCCGUAACUAUAACGGUCCUAAGGUAGCGAAAUUCCUUGUCGGGUAAGUUCCGACCUGCACGAAUGGCGUAAUGAUGGCCAGGCUGUCUCCACCCGAGACUCAGUGAAAUUGAACUCGCUGUGAAGAUGCAGUGUACCCGCGGCAAGACGGAAAGACCCCGUGAACCUUUACUAUAGCUUGACACUGAACAUUGAGCCUUGAUGUGUAGGAUAGGUGGGAGGCUUUGAAGCGUGGACGCCAGUCUGCGUGGAGCCAACCUUGAAAUACCACCCUUUAAUGUUUGAUGUUCUAACGUUGGCCCCUGACCGGGGUUGCGGACAGUGUCUGGUGGGUAGUUUGACUGGGGCGGUCUCCUCCCAAAGCGUAACGGAGGAGCACGAAGGUUAGCUAAUCCUGGUCGGACAUCAGGAGGUUAGUGCAAUGGCAUAAGCUAGCUUGACUGCGAGCGUGACGGCGCGAGCAGGUGCGAAAGCAGGUCAUAGUGAUCCGGUGGUUCUGAAUGGAAGGGCCAUCGCUCAACGGAUAAAAGGUACUCCGGGGAUAACAGGCUGAUACCGCCCAAGAGUUCAUAUCGACGGCGGUGUUUGGCACCUCGAUGUCGGCUCAUCACAUCCUGGGGCUGAAGUAGGUCCCAAGGGUAUGGCUGUUCGCCAUUUAAAGUGGUACGCGAGCUGGGUUUAGAACGUCGUGAGACAGUUCGGUCCCUAUCUGCCGUGGGCGCUGGAGAAUUGAGGGGGGCUGCUCCUAGUACGAGAGGACCGGAGUGGACGCAUCACUGGUGUUCGGGUUGUCAUGCCAAUGGCACUGCCCGGUAGCUAAAUGCGGAAGAGAUAAGUGCUGAAAGCAUCUAAGCACGAAACUUGCCCCGAGAUGAGUUCUCCCUGAGACUUUAAGUCUCCUGAAGGAACGUUNGACGUUGAUAGGCCGGGUGUGUAAGCGCAGCGAUGCGUUGAGCUAACCGGUACUAAUGAACCGUGAGGCUUAACCUU
rnacentral:rRNA from 1 species